UGGCCCAAAAGUGUUGCUAAAGUAGCCCACAGAUGGGAAAUCAAAGUAAUAGUCCUGUGCCGAGCUAUGAAGUUGACACGUGUGUCUUCUGCCAGCGCAGUUCCCCGUCUCCCUGAACCUGCUUUCUGCAGAGAGCCCCUGAAAGCUCAACUCACAAGAAAUUCGGGUGCUACUUGGAGGGAUAUUUGCGAGUCGAAUGAGUCCAGAGUAGGAAAUGUUGAAAGGUACUGUUACUUGAGAUAUGGGUUUAAAGGAUUUUACUAUGCUUAAUUCGUGACAAGCUGCUAAGAUUUGGACGGAUCCCUCUGAAAGGGGGCCACCUUUGGUUCUCUUGAUACCGUUUGGGCGACACAGAAGUGAUCAAAGGAGACGCCAUACCCCGAGGUGCUUGUGGUUUGCUCCGUAUCCUGGAAGAUCUACUGUCACAGAAUAGGAUUCCAGAAAAUUCUGUGAGUGACUUCGUGUCAGUGUCUUAUCAAAGGUUUGGCUGGGUAGGGCCUGGCUGCAUUUCUCUCAGCUAACCUGCAGCGUGUCUUGUUAGUGCAUCGUAGUGUGUAAGCUGAAGCCAGAGGUGCUGAGGCAGCGUGUCCAAGGCUUCCCAGCUCGUAAGUGGCAGAACUUGGGCUGUAGCCCAGGCUUCCUGGCUCCCGGUUCUCUGUCUUCUCACCCUGGCCUGCUACUGCUUUCUGACACUCAGUCAAAUCAGGUCAGAUGUAGUGGUCAUUGGGUUCUGCAGUCUUCAGACAGAAACGUGGAACCCCCUCCUUGAUUGAACGUAAUAACUAAUUGUUUUUAUGUAAGGUCUCGUUGGUCAGAUUUGAGCUGUGGUUAUAUCAGGUGUGGAUAUAUCAGAUGUCUCUUUCAUCGCUUUGCGGAUUUCCCAAGGAAAGGCUUUAGCUUGUGCAUGUGGUAGUAGGACCUCAGUCCUGACAUUUCAACUUAGAACUACUCGAAGGGACGAUUCGUGAACAUUUCCAUCUGACCUGCAUAGAUUCUGCUUUUCAGUAUCUCCUUGUCUCUUCAAGGCAAACUUGGCCUGCACCGAAGUGUCCCCUGUGUGUCUGCUUUCUGGGAUUAUACGUGGACCUCCUGGGAUGAUGCCCCAGGUGGCUGUGUGAUCCAACAGCAUAGAAAGGCUUACUGGGAGAGUUUGCUGCUGGCUAGGGUGCAGCCCAGACGUAGAGAGCUUGGUGGGCAAGCUCAUGCUUAGUAGUCCCAAGUCAAAACUGUUUGUUUUUUUUUGUUUUUUUUUAUAGUAAUAAAUAAUUAAUUUUAAGUAAUGCAGGUAGGGCUGUGGAGAUAGCUUAGCAAGCACAAGGACCCGGGUCUGGACUCUCAGCACUCAUGUGAAAAAGCCAACUAUGGUAGUGUGCUUAUAAUUUCAGCACUGGAGAGUCAGAGACGGGAGGAUUCUUGGAGCUUGCUGGUCACCCAGUCUAGUGUAAUUGGUUCAGAGAGUAACAGUAAGUGACUGAAGAAGGCUCCUGAUGUCCACAUUGACCUCUGCCCUCCAUAUGCAUCAUACAAGCUUGAUCUCUGUCCACUGUAUGCACACGAACACCCCUGUCAUAAUACCGACUCCUGGGGGAAAUAGAGAAGAUGCAGGAUACAGCAAGGUGGUACUCCACUUCGUUUCUUACCCCAUUAGGAGAGCUGAGCCAUGCUCAAGUUUGAUUUAGCUGCCUAACCUUUAUAUUUGUAUUGUUUUAUCUCUGCAUAUCCUAACACUUUGUCCAGCUAUGUGAAUUAUUUAGUCAGUGGUAAAUAAAUCUUCAUUGUUUGUCCAAGCUGCCCACGUGUCGAAGCUAGGGCUAAAACAUUGGGAAGUGUAGCUCCUGGCCUGCUGCUGCGUAGCUCCUGGCCUGCUGCUGCUACUCUGUUUUUUGAAAGUUAAAGUUAG
rnacentral:lncRNA from 1 species